GCAUCCAGCACUGCAAGUCAGGGAUGAGACACACUACAACAGGAGAGGGAGCAAGCGCGAGAGGAUAUUAGAAGAGAGGCUUGUCUCCAAGAUAUGGAAGGAAGUGAGAAAUGACAGGGCUGCAAGCUUUGUAUGUAGGAGCCCGGCAGGGCGGGGGAGCGGCGAGGAGAGCCAAGUGGAUUCUCAGAAAAGGGGGGAAGCCAUCGAAGAGCUAAAGGUGAUUAGAGGGGGAUAUUGAUUUCUUAUUCUGCCAGAGAUUUAAGCAGGCAUGCGAGGAAUCUGCACCAUGGUUGGCAAAAAGAGACCCGUUGCCUCCUGUAACCAGACACUCAGGCUUUCCAGGAGCCCAGGGAGCAAGCCGAGAAGAAAGGGGGCAGUGUGGUCUAGGAAAAUUCAACUUGUCGCUGAUUUGUGCCUGAUGCCUGCUGUCCGUCAGCAGCCUCCCUUACAAUCUUUUUUUCUCUCUCUCCUUUUUUUUUCCUUGCCUUCUCCUUCUUCACUGAAGCCUAGGGGAGCCAGUAAAGAUUAAAUGUGCUUCUCAAAGGCAGCCACUUCAUGCUGCUAUGUCGAAAGGGCCAUUAUUAUUAUUAUAUUUUAAUGGUAAAAGAGAAAAGGAGAGAGGUUGAGCGAGCGAGAGAGAAGCUAGGUGUGAUGAUGACAGACUAGCUUUUCUGAGAGGAAAAGGAAAAG
rnacentral:lncRNA from 1 species